GCCCUCCAGUUCCCUUUCCCAUCAGAUCUGAACACUGGUCUUGGUGGUCACAAAGGAGGAAAAGAAAUGCUGAAGCUGGCCUCACAGCCUUAUAGUCUGGUAUAUAGCAUGUGGGCUAGUUUCAAACAAGG
rnacentral:snoRNA from 1 species